CUGCUAAGGAUGACCAUGCAGAAGUGUGUUUGCUGUACCUGCACCGAUGCCAACAGGAAGUUCAGUGUGUUGUCAUAGGAAUCAGAGCCCUGACUUCCACAACAGGAGACAUACUUAGGCAGAGAUUGUACUGAUGCACUUCUGAAGAGCAACAUUUGCUUAUACCGAGGUGUUUGGUGAAAUUUUAUUGAAGUCUUGCAAGAGAUCGUACAAAUGGGGUGCAGCUCAAGUACAGGUGUUCAAGUUGUGGAUCCAGCCAACAUGCCUGAGGACAGACCUGAAUCAGCAGACACAUCAGACAGAGAAGAUGAGGAUGAUGUUGAAGUCUCAAACACAGAGAACAAUGAAGUCGAGGCUGAAGACAGCUGAUUAUGUCUUUUACUUUCCUGGCUACAUUCAUCAAGCUUCUAAGUUCAGCUGUGAUGGUACGUUUCCUGGAGAGUGAGAUGAGGUCAACACCAGUCUGUUACUUUAUAUGAGGUCUCCAAUAUCUACAUAUUUGAUUCUGUCCAUCACAACUACCUGUUUUUCUGUGUAUAUAUACAGUAUAGAUGUAGCAGUUGUAAGUAUCAAAUAUGCUUGAAUUUGUAAUCAUGACAUCAAUAGCAACUGUAUUAUUAACAGAUUGUGUUCUUUAAGAAUGUAAAUAAAUGUUCCUAUAUGA